CGUCGUCGUCGUCGCCGUCGUCGUCGCCGUCGUCGUCGCCGUCGUCGUCGUCGUCGUCGUCGUCGUCGACGUCGCGCUGUGUGUGAAGAAACGACCAACGGGUCGUGCGCGGUCAGCUGUUUGCGCGAGCGUCGUCGCGAGCGAGCACGCACUGUCGUCGGCGCGCAGUGGAACGGCCGUGUUGGAGAGCGGCAAAGAAACGAAACGGAACAGUGCGAGCCGCGGAAGUUCGCGAGACGAGGGGCGGAUCGCCGUCGUGUCUGUGUGUGAGAAAGCGAGAGAAAGAGAAAGAGAAAGAGAGGGAGAGGGAGAGUGUGCCAGGCGGCGUGCAGCGUGCGCGUGCGAGAGCGCGAUCUCAACGGGAAAAUGAUGGCGUAGACCUCGCCGCGCUCCGGAAGCAACGGGACGCGAGGGAGCGAGAGGGAGAACGAGAGACACGAGAGCGAGAGCGAGAGCAGAGGAGGGAAGAACGGGAGAACGAGAGGAGAAACGAGGUAGAAGGAGAAAGAGAGUGACGCGCGCCGCUCGUAGCCGUGGUACGCGUCGCGGUGCUACCGAACGCAGCCGAUCAUCCGCGUUGUCCGUGAGUGAGCGAGUGAGCGAGUGAGCGAGCGAGCGAGCGCGCGUCGUCGCCCACGUCGAUUAGCGUCGUCGGCCGCGAACGAGCGGAGCGCGACGCGCGGAGCGACUCGUCCGCUGGUGAUCGAGACGCGCGCGCGGUGCUGGUGGUGCUGGUGCAGUGUUGGCCCGGGUACGACGACGACGAGGAGGAAGAAACAAGUGGAGAAGAAGGUAGUGCGCGAUUGUAAAGCGCGCGCGCGCGCGCUCUCUCUCUCUCUCUCUCUCGCCCGUCGUCGCCGUCGCCUAUCCUGUUGCAGGCGGCUGUAUCGUCGUGCCGUUUCGUGUUGUUGCAUCGCGUCGCGCCGCGCCGUGUCGUGUCGUGUCGUGCAGAUCGCGUCGUUUGUUUGUUGUGUUUCUCCGCGGAUAUACUCGCGAAGUGGUGCCAACAACGCCAGGUAGCCAGCGGCGUGUGUCUCGACUGCAGCGGGGAAUAUAGUACUACGAUGAUCAGUGACACGUGCGGAUACGUUCUCUGCCUGCUGCUGCUGUCGCUGGUACCCUACAUCGAAAGCGGUGAGUUUCCGCAUCCCCGUGGACUGCAAAAGCCAGGGAACUUGGCACCCGGCCAAGCUCAACGGUUGAACGAGUACAUCCGCCACUACGAAACCCUGUCGUACCCCGUCGAGGACGUCCAGCGAAGUCACCUAAGGGCGAAAAGGUCGAUCGGCCGCGACAGUGCCGUGACUGUGAAGUUCCGCGCGCACAACAAGAACUUCCACAUCCGAUUAAAGCGAGACCUCACCACUUUCAGCAACAAUCUAAUUGUAGAGGGACCCACGGGGGAGAGGCAGGACGACGACAUCACCCACAUUUAUCAGGGCAACCUAAUCGGCGAGCCUAGUAGUCACGUGUUCGGAAGUGUCAGUGAUGGAGUCUUCCACGGGAAGAUAAUAUCACCGAAAAGUGGUGCGUGGUACGUGGAAAAGGCGCAUUACUACUUUCCGCCGCACGAGGUAAACGAGACGCUACAUUCUGUGAUCUAUCACGAGAAUGACGUUGGUGAUCCGUACGCGGACGUUCGACAAGGGGAUUCCGGCGGGUGUGGCAUUACCGACGAAGUGAUAGAAUGGAUGGAGAAGAUACAGAAUUCCGCCGAGCCGGAUCUGCCACUUAAGACAUUCGCGUCGGUGAAUCAGAAGGAGCCGAAACCAAAUGUCGCACCUUGGAACGGGGACCAGGAGAGUCCUGGUCAUAAAUACAGUAGAGAAGCCAAUGAACCUAGUCAUCGCAGACCACGAAGAGCGACUAGGUCGAAGGAGAACAACACCUGCUCGCUCUUCAUACAAACGGAUCCUCUCAUAUGGAGGCAUAUUUCCGAACAGUUACAUCACGACGCGGAGAAAACCAGGGAGGAGAUAUUGUCCUUGAUCGCCCACCACGUCACCGCCGUCAACUACAUCUACAGGGACACGAGAUUCGACGGCAGGAUAGAGCAUAGAAACAUCAAAUUCGAGGUCCAACGAAUAAAGAUCGAUGACGACACGGCCUGCACGCAACAACAGACGUACAACGAGCCGAACCCGUUCUGCAUGGAGAACAUCGACGUCAGCAACUUUCUAAAUCUGCACUCCCUCGGGAAUCACGAGGAUUUCUGCCUAGCCUAUGUCUUCACCUACAGGGAUUUCACCGGAGGCACACUCGGGCUCGCCUGGGUCGCGUCCGCGUCCGGCGCGUCCGGCGGUAUCUGCGAGAAGUACAAGACCUACACCGAGACCGUGGGCGGCAUGUAUCAGUCCACCAAGCGGUCCUUGAACACCGGCAUCAUCACAUUCGUGAAUUACAACAGCCGAGUACCGCCCAAAGUGUCGCAGCUGACUCUGGCGCACGAGAUCGGACAUAAUUUCGGAUCACCGCACGAUUUUCCGCCGGAAUGCAGACCUGGCGGCUUGGACGGCAAUUACAUUAUGUUCGCCUCAGCGACGAGCGGAAAUCGACCGAACAACAGCAAAUUUUCAAAGUGCAGCAUUGGCAAUAUCAGUAACGUUCUAGAUGCUAUCGAGGAUAACAAGAAGAGGAACUGUUUCACCGGGGCGUUUUGCGGGAACAAGAUCGUCGAGGCCGGCGAGGAAUGCGAUUGCGGAUACGAUGACGACGAGUGCACGGACAAGUGCUGUUAUCCCAGGCAGGUGUCCGAUAUGGAUAAAAUCAAAAACGAAACAGCGAAAGGCUGCAAUAGGAAGUACGGGACACAGUGCAGUCCCAGUCAAGGACCUUGCUGUUCGAGCGACACGUGCCAGUUCGUGCCCCUGUCCCAUAAGGUUCAAUGCAAGGCCGAAUCAGACUGCAGUUACAACUCUACCUGCAACGGCAGAUCCUCCGAAUGUCCAGCGCCGCUACCGAGGGCCAAUAAGACCAGAUGUAACGAGGGCACUCAGCUGUGCAUCAACGGCGAGUGUACCGGAUCCAUUUGCCUGGAGUGGAAUCUGACAGAGUGCUUUUUAACGAGCAGCAUCAUACCGAACAUCGACAAGCGAAAGCUCUGCGAAUUAGCCUGUCAAAAUGGCACCGAUGCGUCGACGUGUCGCGGUACGAGCGAGUUUGCGCACAUGGUGGGACUGCCCGAGGGUGGCAUGAGCCUGAGACCCGGCUCGCCCUGCGAUAACUUUCAGGGCUAUUGCGACGUUUUCUUGAAGUGUAGAGCCGUCGACACGGAAGGGCCGCUCGCUAGGCUGAAGAAUCUUUUGUUUAACAAGGAGACCUUAUCAACGGUUGCGCAAUGGGUGACUGAAUUUUGGUGGGCUGUACUGCUGAUGGGCAUAGCUUUCAUCAUAUUUAUGGGACUAUUUAUCAAGUGUUGCGCCGUGCAUAUUCCUUCCACUAAUCCUAAAAAGCCGCCUGCGAGGCGCAUCAGCGACACGUUAACAAGACCGAUGAAUACUCUUAGGAGGAUGCGACACCCGCACGGCGGAGGAGGAGCUGGCCCACGAAGUAUACCUCCGAGACCAAGUCAAGGUGGACACGGGACGCGUGGACCCUCUCAUGGUUACGGAGAGGGUAGAGGUGCUCAGUAUUAUCCAAAAGGCUAUCGCUCGGUUCCCACAGCUAGUGCGCCACCAAAUAGCAGGUCAGCAGACAACUACGGCCGUUCCAACCACCCAGAACUGUACGCCGGCGCCUAUUCGGGCUCCGGGGGAGGGGGGAGGGGCGCAGCCUAUGAGAUGAGGCAUCACAACAAGGUGUGACGACCCUAGGACGUCGUCACGGACGAGGACCACCAGUCGCGGCGUUGCACCACGAGUCGUUGUGUAAAACGAUUGCCAAAUGCGAAGAGAACCGAUCCACCACUCCACUUUCGAUGACUGAUCUGUAAACGACUUUCUGGAGCGAAAUGGCACUCUACCAUUACCAAACCAUCACAGGUCAUUCGCUUGAUCUCUGUACCAUUGUAGUUUAAUAAUUAACGAUAUGUAUUAUUAUUCUUAUACUAAUUUGUAUUAGCCAAUUGAAGUGAGUGAUGCUAUGCGAGAGAUUAUUACGAGAGAUGUAAGAGCAGCAACAACAAAAUGUAAUGCGUUUCUGUAGCGAUAUUCCAUUAACUAUUACACAUGAACGAAGAUGAUAUUGAUUAUUACUAAGAGUAUGCUUAUUAAUACUAUUAUUAUUAUUACAUUAAUAUUAUUAAUUAGUUAUGUCCUGCAGAUGAUAAUUUAUCUUUGCGAAUGUUAUAUUUAAUUAAAUACGAGUUUUAACAUGCUAUUAAGUCGGGGGCUGCACCGUAAACGCGCGACUAUGCGUAUAGCGGACCAAAGACGAGCCCUCUUAUCGAGAAAGAGAGAGAGAGAGAGAGAGAGAGAGAGACGUGACAUGUUUUAUAUAUAUAUAUAUAUAUACACAUGGGCUCACAUAUACACAGCUGCAUACUCGUAAGCGAUAAACACGAGAUCGGUUUUCAUCCUCGUGAUGAAUCGUAUCUGGUGCUGUUAAACCAUUGUCGAUACGAUCAAUGUGCACUUCCCUUCUCCGAAACGCCAAAUCUGAUGCAAAUAUGGAAAAAAAAAAAGAAAAAGAAGAAGAAGAGAAGAAAAAAAGAAAAAGAAGAAGACGGAGAAGAAGAAGAGCAAGAAGAGAAGAAAUGCGCCAACGUCGAGAUCUGUGUUCGAUCUUGUUCGGAUUGUCUUAUCAAUGUGACGGCGGAUGAUAACGCAAAAAUGUGAGAGAAGCACAUUCAAGUUAGCAGUAACAUCAAAUCCGAGAUCCAAAGUCUCAGAGAAUAAUUGCACGAACGCGUGCUCGUUGAAAUUAGAUUUAUUUUCUUGUGACCCAUUGUAACUCGUUCUUAUGACUGUUAGUAAACACUUGUCACUUUUA
rnacentral:misc_RNA from 1 species